rnacentral:rRNA from 1 species
UACGAAGGGGGCUAGCGUUGCUCGGAAUUACUGGGCGUAAAGGGCGCGUAGGCGGACAGUUUAGUCAGAGGUGAAAGCCCAGGGCUCAACCUUGGAAUUGCCUUUGAUACUGGCUGUCUUGAGUUCGGGAGAGGUGAGUGGGAAUGCCGAGUGUAGAGGUGAAAUUCGUAGAUAUUCGGCGGAACACCAGUGGCGAAGGCGAACUCACU